CCAUCCCUCUCUCCAUCCCUCUAUAUAUCCCUCUAUAUAUCCCUCUCUCCACCCCUCUCUCCCUCCCUAUCCCUCUCCAUUCCUCUUUUCAAUAGCUCUCUGUCCAGAAAGAGAGAGAACGGUUGCAUUUUCUGCUCAAGUGUUGUUCUUACACACAGAGGUCUACUGUAGGAGAGUUGAUGACACACAGAGGUCUACUGUAGGAGAGUUGAUGACACACAGAGACCUACUGUGAGAGUUGAUGACACACAGAGACCUACUGUAGGAGAGUUGAUGACACACAGAGACCUGCUGUAGGAGAGUUGAUGACACACAGAGACCUACUGUAGGAGAGUUGAUGACACACAGAGACCUACUGUGAGAGUUGAUGACACACAGAGACCUACUGUAGGAGAGUUGAUGACACACAGAGACCUACUGUAGGAGAGUUGAUGACACACAGAGACCUGCUGUAGGAGAGUUGAUGACACACAGAGACCUACUGUGAGAGUUGAUGACACACAGAGACCUACUGUAGGAGAGUUGAUGACACACAGAGACCUACUGUAGGAGAGUUGAUGACACACAGAGACCUACUGUAGGAGAGUUGAUGACACACAGAGACCUACUGUAGGAGAGUUGAUGACACACAGAGACCUACUGUAGGAGAGUUGAUAACACACAGAGACCUACUGUAGGAGAGUUGAUAACACACAGAGACCUACUGUAGAAGAGUUGAUGACACACAGAGACCUACUGUAGGAGAGUUGAUAACACACAGAGACCUACUGUAGGAGAGUUGAUAACACACAGAGACCUACUGUAGGAGAGUUGAUAACACACAGAGACCUACUGUAGGAGAGUUGAUAACACACAGAGACCUACUGUAGGAGAGUUGAUAACACACAGAGACCUACUGUAGGAGAGUUGAUAACACACAGAGACCUACUGUAGAAGAGUUGAUGACACACAGAGACCUACUGUAGGAGAGUUGAUAACACACAGAGACCUACUGUGAGAGUUGAUAACACACAGAGACCUACUGUAGGAGAGUUGAUAACACACAGAGACCCACUGUAGGAGAGUUGAUAACACACAGAGACCUACUGUAGGAGAGUUUAUAACACACAGAGACCUACUGUAGGAGAGUUGAUGACACACAGAGGUCUACUGUAGGAGAGUUGAUGACACACAGAGACCUACUGUGAGAGUUGAUGACACACAGAGACCUACUGUAGGAGAGUUGAUGACACACAGAGACCUGCUGUAGGAGAGUUGAUGACACACAGAGACCUACUGUAGGAGAGUUGAUGACACACAGAGACCUACUGUGAGAGUUGAUGACACAGAGACCUUCUGUAGGAGAGUUGAUGACACACAGAGACCUACUGUAGGAGAGUUGAUGAAACACAGAGACCUACUGUAGGAGAGUUGAUAACACACAGAGACC